CUCAGCUCCCUGCCACCAGGGCAUGUUUCUGAAGGACGUGGCAGGGAGCGGUUUGGUUUGGUUUUUUAAUCUUCUCCAGGUUGCCGUUUCAGUUUCUGUCUGCUGGAGGGAGGAGCUGUGGAGCCAGUGUAUAACCCGCCUGCUCCAGAGAGGGACCAGACACAGGGCUGUGUGUGUCUCAGCCCAGCAAACCCUUCCUGAUUGGAAUUAACCCUUUUCCCACUGCUGGUCCUCCUGUGGGGAGCUGGCUGGCUGCUGCUCAGGCAAACCUCGAACCCAGACCCCACGGGACGGGACGCCAGUGAAAAGAAA